GAUGAAGAACGUAGCGAAAUGCGAUAAGUAAUGUGAAUUGCAGAAUUCAGUGAAUCAUCGAAUCUUUGAACGCACAUUGCGCCCGCCAGUAUUCUGGCGGGCAUGCCUGUCUGAGCGUCAUUUCAACCCUCAUGCCCCUAGGGCGUGGUGUUGGGGAUCGGCCAAAGCCCGCAAGGGACGGCCGGCCCCUAAAUCUAGUGGCUGACCCGUCGUGGCCUCCCCUGCGAAGUAGUGAUAUUCCGCAUAGGAGAAGCGACGAGCCCCUGCCGUUAAACCCCCAACUUUCUCAGGUUGACCUCAGAUCAGGUAGGAAUACCCGCUGAACUUAAGCAUAUCAAUAAGCGGAGGA
rnacentral:misc_RNA from 1 species